UUACUUCCACAGUACAUAUGUUAGAAUUGGAAUGAUCUAGAGAAGACUAGUAUGGUCCCUUAGCAAGAAUGAUAUGCAAAUAUGAUAAGAAAAACAAAGAAAU